UCCUGGUAAUUUUAUGUGCUCUUUCAGUCUGCAGAAAAACUGUCAGCCCAGACUGAAAAGGGACAGAGAUGGGAUUGAAUGAAACAAGAAUGAUUCCAAGGGCAAAGCAAUGAGCCCAGAGGUUGAGGCCAGCCAGCUGGACAUCAUUGGCGAAGAGGUCGCGGCCACUGCCCAGGCUGGCCAAGAGGAAGGUGCAGUCGGCCAGAAUUUACUCCACCAAUGGCUCCAAAACUAAAUAUGUGGCCUAUACACUUUCCAUUUCUCUGGCCUCAGCAAUUGCUUCAGGGAUAAAUAUGUAACCCAAUCAUAUGGGGAAGAUGGAAGGCUGGAGCUGCUGCAGCUAUGUUGCUACUAUGAGAGGAUAACCUGUCUGAGAAUAGAAAUAACAAAAAUGGAGCAGGACCAAGAGAUCUCUGAGAGAAGACCCAUAAUUAUGAGACACUCAAUCAACCAUAUGUAAACUUAGCCCUACUGUUACA
rnacentral:lncRNA from 1 species